GGGAGUUUGGCCGAGUGGUUAAGGCGUCAGGUUUAGGAUAUUUUACUUAUAUCAGAAACCCUGAUAUCUUCGGAUGCGCGGGUUCGAAUCCCUCAGCUCUCA
rnacentral:tRNA from 1 species